rnacentral:lncRNA from 10 species
GGGCUGCAGUCAUUUGAAGGCUUGACUGGGGCUGGAGGAUUUUCAUCCAAGAUGGCUCACUCACCCAGCUGUUGGCAGGAGACCUCGGUUCUUUGACUUCUCCGUAAGACUGUACGGAGUCUCACUCUGUUGCCAGGCUGGAGUGCAGUGGCACGAUCUCGGCUCACCACAACCUCUGCCACCUGGGUUCAAGCGAUUCUCCUGCCUCAGCCUCCUGAGUAGCUGGGAUUACAGCCUGAGUCGAAGCUGUUAAAGAGGCCAAGAAUUCCCAAGCUUUCCCAGGCAAACGGGGAAGAACACUGGGAUGCCUUUUCCUCCUCCUCUGUCCAUCUGCAGGCCAAGUGUGCAUCAGUCACAGGCAAACUCUGAAUUGAGCUUUGUGCAAGUCUCUGGAAAGAGACCCAAGAUCGUGUGAUGAGCAAAAGUGACAGUGCUGGAGGCAGCGACAUCUGCAGAGCCAGCCCCAUCCCUAU